rnacentral:rRNA from 1 species
CAGCCGCCGCGGUAACACGGAGGGUGCAAGCGUUAAUCGGAAUUACUGGGCGUAAAGCGCACGCAGGCGGUCUGACAAGUCAGAUGUGAAAUCCCCGGGCUUAACCUGGGAACUGCAUUUGAAACUGUCAGGCUGGAGUCUUGUAGAGGGGGGUGGAAUUCCAGGUGUAGCGGUGAAAUGCGUAGAGAUCUGGAGGAAUACCGGUGGCGAAGGCGGCCCCCUGGACAAAGACUGACGCUCAGGUGCGAAAGCGUGGGGAGCAAACAGGAUUAGAUACCCCUGUAGUCCCUGUCUCUUAUAC